rnacentral:tRNA from 5 species
UGGGGCGUCGACAAGCGGUAAGUCACAAGGCUUUGGACCUUGCACUCGCAGGUUCGAAUCCUGCCGCCCCAGCCA